rnacentral:rRNA from 1 species
UCAAGCUAAUAAGGGCUAACGGUGGAUACCUAGGCACACGGAAGCGAAGAAGGACGUAGUUACCGACGAAACGCUUCGGGGAGCGGGAAGCAAGCAUUGAUCCGAAGAUAUCCGAAUGGGGCAACCCUAAACACGACCACCUGAAUACAUAGGGUGGAGCGAGCAAACCUGGUGAACUGAAACAUCUUAGUAGCCAGAGGAAAAGAAAGCAACAGCGAUUCCCCCAGUAGCGGCGAGCGAAAAGGGAACAGCCUAAACCAAGUUCUUCGGAACUUGGGGUCGUGGGACAGUAACAAAAGACUGGGAAAUUUAGACGAAGCGGCUGAAAACCGCACCAGAGAAGGUGAAAGUCCUGUAGUCGAAAAAGGAACCAGCUUAACUGCAUCCCGAGUAGCAUGGGGCACGUGAAAUCCCGUGUGAAUCUGCCUCGACCACGAGGUAAGGCUAAAUAUUCCCGUGUGACCGAUAGAGAAACAGUACCGCGAGGGAAAGGUGAAAAGAACCCCGGAAGGGGAGUGAAAUAGAACAUGAAACCGUUAGCCUACAAGCAAUGGGAGGACGAUUGAACGUCUGACCGUGUGCCUGUUGAAGAAUGAGCCGGCGACUUACAGGUUAUGGCAGGUGAAGGGGGAAGACCCCACAGCCCCAGCGAAAGCGAGUCUGAAUAGGGCGAAACGUCAUAAUUUGUAGACCCGAACCCGGGUGAUCUAACCAUGGCCAGGAUGAAGCUUGGGUAAAACCAAGUGGAGGUCCGAACCGACUAAUGUUGAAAAAUUAGCGGAUGAGCUGUGGUUAGGGGUGAAAUGCCAAUCGAACUCGGAGCUAGCUGGUUCUCCCCGAAAUGUGUUGAGGCGCAGCGGUAGUGGAAGUUUAGUCGGGGUAAAGCACUGUUUCGCCGCGGGCUGGGAGACCGGUACCAAGGCGAGGCAAACUCUGAAUACGGCUAAAAAAACUACCAGUGAGACGGUGGGGGAUAAGCUUCAUCGUCAAGAGGGAAACAGCCCAGACCACCAGCUAAGGUCCCCAAAUGAUAACUAAGUGAGAAAGGAGGUGGGAGUGCAUUGACAACCAGGAGGUUUGCCUAGAAGCAGCAACCCUUAAAAGAGUGCGUAAUAGCUCACUGGUCAAGCGCUCCUGCGCCGAAAAUGAACGGGGCUAAGUUAUCUACCGAAGCUGUGGACUACAUUGUAGUGGUAGGGGAGCGUUCUAUAGGGGGUGAAGCAGUAGCGGCAAGCAGCUGUGGACUCUAUAGAAGUGAGAAUGUCGGCUUAAGUAGCGAAAAUGUGGGUGAGAAUCCCACACCCCGAAACCCCAAGGUUUCCUCCGCAAGGCUCGUCCGCGGAGGGUCAGUCAGGACCUAAGGCGAGGCUGAAAAGCGUAGUCGAUGGACAACGGGUUAACAUUCCCGUACCGAUUAAUGAUUGUGCCGGAGAACGGAGAAGGUCAACGUCAGCUGGAUGUUGGUUACCAGUGCAAGCAGUCGAGGCGAUGAGAGGUGGUGAAAACACCAGGAGCUAAGACGCGAGUCCCACCUCCCACGGGAGGGAAGUGGCGCUGAUCAAGCUUCCUAGAAAAGCCCGAACCACGUUAAUCAUUAAUUGCCUGUACCCGAAACCGACACAGGUGGGGAAGUAGAGAAUACUAAGGGGCGCGAGAUAACUCUCUCUAAGGAACUCGGCAAAAUGACCCCGUAACUUCGGGAGAAGGGGUACCCUCGCAAGAGGGUCGCAGUGAAUAGGCCCAGGCGACUGUUUACCAAAAACACAGGUCUCCGCCAAGUCGUAAGACGCAGUAUGGAGGCUGACGCCUGCCCAGUGCCGGAAGGUUAAGGAAGUUGGUCAGGAGUAAUCUGAAGCUGACGACCGAAGCCCCGGUGAACGGCGGCCGUAACUAUAACGGUCCUAAGGUAGCGAAAUUCCUUGUCGGGUAAGUUCCGACCCGCACGAAAGGCGUAACGAUCUGGGCACUGUCUCGGAGAGAGACUCGGCGAAAUAGGAUUGUCUGUGAAGAUACGGACUACCUGCACCUGGACAGAAAGACCCUAUGAAGCUUUACUGUAGCCUGGAAUUGGCUUCGGGCUUCGCUUGCGCAGGAUAGGUGGGAAGCUUUGAAACUCUCCUCGUGGGGAGGGUGGAGCUAACGGUGAGAUACCACUCUGGCGAGGCUAGAAUUCUAACCCUGACCCCUAAUCGGGGCGGGAGACAGUUUCAGGUGGGCAGUUUGACUGGGGCGGUCGCCUCCUAAAAGGUAACGGAGGCGCGCAAAGGUUCCCUCGGUCCCGUUGGAAAUGGGACGAUAGAGUGCAAAAGCAGAAGGGAGCUUGACUGUGAGACCCACAAGUCGAACAGGGACGAAAGUCGGCUUUAGUGAUCCGACGGCACCGCGUGGAAGGGCCGUCGCUCAACGGAUAAAAGUUACUCUAGGGAUAACAGGCUGAUCUCCCCCAAGAGUUCACAUCGACGGGGAGGUUUGGCACCUCGAUGUCGGCUCAUCGCAACCUGGGGCUGAAGUCGGUCCCAAGGGUUGGGCUGUUCGCCCAUUAAAGCGGUACGUGAGCUGGGUUCAGAACGUCGUGAGACAGUUCGGUCCAUAUCCGGUGUAGGCGUAAGAGCAUUGCGAGGAGCCUUCCUUAGUACGAGAGGACCGGGAAGGACGCACCGCUGGUGUACCUGUUAUCGUGCCAACGGUAAACGCAGGGUAGCCAUGUGCGGAGCGGAUAACCGCUGAAAGCAUCUAAGUGGGAAGCCCACCUCCAGAUGAUUGCUCUCAUGGCAUUAAGCCAGUAAGGUCUCGGGUAGACUACCCGUUGAUAGGCUCUAGAUGGAAGCUCGGUAACGAGUGCAGUCGAGGAGUACUAACCGACCGAGGGCUUGACC